GAAGUGGUUCCCGGCUCUCCUCCCUGGUGAUAGCGCUGCUGAGGCUGCUGGGUCCCUUGUUUGAUCCUUCUGGCUCCAGAGCGCCGGAGACCUGUCUGCAGGGAUUUUGAUGCUUCUCCCCACGGCGCACAGCCAGUGUUCAUAGCAUCUUCUGGACGAUGGGAUCUCCUACAUGACUAGUGAAUACUGACUGAAGACGCCGUCUGCCACAGAAGAUACAUUUCUCCAGAGGUUCCACAUUGUGAGAAACCAUCAUACAGAGGAUCGUUGAGCUUUCUAGAGAUGGGUUCUUCCUGUGACCAUAUAUGUUCUGUGUUCUUACCCGCACAUAUGACUGAGGAACAGGGCAUGAGACCACACUACAGAUCCUUGGUGAUGGAGUGAAGACAUCACACGUCCCAGCGAGAACCAGAGCGUAGGCUACAGACGGGUCUUACAUAAACAUAAAGGUGAAAGAAGAACAUUACGGUGAAUUUUCAAAGUCUAUAUAGACUCACAGAAAAUGGCUGCCACAUAAAAUAAGAGACACAAGCCGCAUCCAUUAUAAAAUGUAGAGGGAUUAAAGAAUGGAUAUAGCGGAUACACGUCACCGGAAAUGACAUUGCGGAUAAGCACUUCCGACCUGUGGAACGCACGCCGGAGCCGGGACUUCCGGAUAAGCUCUUCUGACUUGUGAAACGCAGCCGGAGCCGAGCCUUCCGGCAGGUUCUAUUCAAUAUGUUUGGACUAAUAUAUGGCAUAGGGAUUCAUUAUGGACUAUAAGAGUAUGUGGGAUUUUAGCUUGAAAGAUAAUCCAUGUCUGGCAUUAGGAAUAACUGUAUGGGGGUUUAUAUGCCCGCCUGGUUGGAUAAGAUCCUCAUACCUUGAAAAAGAAACCUUUAUGGUUUGGAAACACGUUGGUGAGAGGAGGCCCAUCUGACUCUUGGACACACUACCCUGGACGGAAGGCACAGUUCCAGGGACGCCUGUGGUUUCUCUCAUAUUCCUGUGCAAUUGUCUAUAUUCAGUUUGUAGACCAUUCCAUCUGGUAGGAGUCCAAUUGUUUUGCUAUAUGAUAUCUGGGCAUUGUUGUAUGUUUUAAUUGUCUACAAAUCAUGGUAGACCAUUUUUUUCGGU